CGCGCUUUUAGAACCCCAAACGUCGACGAACGUGUUGGAGCCGGUCCGCAGUUCGAUGCGAAUUUCAUUGCAAUCCCGAGCAACUUCUCCUUGAAAACACAGACGUCGUAUGACGUGGAAGGAGGCUUCCGCAUACGCGCCGGGCGUUUCCAGAUGCAGACCAGUGUCUACGACAUGCACUUGAGGAACGAGAUCCAUUU
rnacentral:misc_RNA from 1 species